rnacentral:lncRNA from 1 species
GCAAUCCAUCUGCAGAUCAAUCAAUCUCCUCCUCGCUUUUCUGCUUGUAAGUCUCUGUCUUCCUCUGAUUUUUAAUUUAGAGUGUUCCAGUUCGAUUAUUUCAUUUUCCUAAAUUCCUCCAAUUUUUUCAAGAUUUGUAAUAAAAUUUUAACCGUUUGUUUCGCAUCUCCACAAGCUUUUAUUUUGUUGCUUAUUGAAUCUCAGAACAGUAUUACGUUUUGGUGUUUAUCUGAUAGGUUUAGGAAAGCUUAUAUACAUAAGAAGUUGAGGGGAAAAGAGAAGGUGACAGAGGAAAGCAAGGGAAAUAUUUCAAAUGGAGAACAUGUGGGUUGAGAAGGAGUCUUUGAAGAAUAAGAAAGUCUAAGACCUUUGGUUUGAGAGGGAGGCUUUGCAGUUACGGAAGAGAAGUGAGGAGC